CAUCUUUUCUCGAUCUCGAUCUGUGACUUGAAAUAAGUGGAGACCUCUUUAGCUCUCCAAGGUUCAUCUGCAAACUUCCAACCUCAACUUCUUUUCAAUUUGUCCUGCGACAGUUUUAGAAACGAGUUAAUUAAUCAGCUUUCAUGGAGCUUAAUCUCAUGGAAACUAUUUAAGGAUGCAGGCACUCAGUUUACUUUCAAGUUCAACUUGGACGCCAAGUGCUCGUCCGCCAAUAUGGCCAUCCAUCCGGUCCUUCUGUUGAUCAUUCUUGAACCAGAUGUCUUCCACCGCAAGAGAUCGAAAUUCCAUUCAUAAAUUCAGUGCGUACCGGAGUAAAACCGAUCCAUAUCCAAAGCUUGAAGCAAGCAUCAAUCUUUCCCCAUUCAGUCAUCCGACCAUGUUACUUGUUAAAGACUACGGAGCAUAUUCAUGGUUUUACCUAGUUUGGUACUUUGUGGAAAUGGUUAAUUCCCAACUUAAUUUUGAAUGCCGAGACAUUCGAACCAGUAGCGGGAAGUGACAGUACGUUAUCUGGUAAGAUAUAUGUUAAUUGGUGAGAAAGAGCUAAGAAAUGCACCUUCACAAUCUGAAACCAUAUUGAAGCUGCCAACCACGUAAACUUUUACUUCAAUCCUCAUAACGUUCUGAUCUUUGUGGUUAUCUGCAUAUGUGGGUGUUUAGCAGAUUUGUUAGAAACCAAGUCCGACAGCGGAAGUCAUAGACAUUCUUCAUAGGGUAAUUACCCUAAGCUCAAGCUGACCUAAACUACAUUGGAUUUGACCUCAAAGUCAAAGGAUGGGUAUGAGAAAGUCUACCUGAAAUGGAAAGCAUCGAUUAUGGAGUCCACAACUUCAACUGAUCAUAAUGAAAUGGAUCCAAGAGGUUCAAGAGCUGAAAGAGCUCUCAAAGAACAUUGUUGGUACCUUUAAAUGAGAAGCAGAAGCUCCCUAAGAGGCACUCAAGGAGCUAGCGCUGCAACAAAGCGCACAACGAUUUUAACAUAGACCUAAGAGGUCCCAGAGAUUGCAGCCCACAAGAUGUCGAUCAAAGAGAGAGUUGUAUCCAAGAGGUCCUUCGAGUUCUACUAUAAGGUGCCUGAACAUUGAACCCAAGAGUUCUAUGAUACCCAAGAAGUAGCUAAAGAUUGGAACCUACAGGUCACUAAAGUGGUAUCGAAAAUUGGACCCAAGAGGUCUGAAGUUGCACCCAAAAGACUCAUGAACAGGUUCCACCCCAGAAGUGCCUAAAGAGCUUGGACCCAAGAGUCUCUGAAGUUGCACCCAUAAGAUGCAUGAAUUAAGUAGUUCCAACCUGGAAGUGCCUGAAAAGCUUGGACCCAAGGGGUCCAAAGGCUGCACCCAAAAGUCCAAAUUUGCACCCAUGAGGUCACUAAAAGUCUAAAACAAAUAUACGAAAGUGAGAACCAAAGAUGUCCUUUGAGUGGGAGCCAAGAGGUCAAGCUCUAUGAAAGCUGGGUGCAAGAAGAUCAAAUAUGCUGACCAGGCAAACUUUAGAUGAACAAGAAUUGAUCGAAGUACCCAACCUUGUUGUGGUACUUCUUCUAAUUAGUCCAAAAAGACGUUUGCCUCGAGGCAAGAAAAGAUUGGUUAGGCUUGAAGUCCCGCAGAGACCUAAAUCUCAAUUUUACUUGGAGGUAACUCUCUCCACACUCCCAAGGGGUGUUACUUCACAAUCCAAGGAAAUUUACUUCUCAAAGCAUAAGAAAUAUGUAUACUUUUCUCCAGAUCCUGAUGGCAAGCUAGGAACUUUUCUUGCAAUCUGUUGGAAAGAUCUUCCCUCGCGUUGACAAAUUUCUUCCCUCGCGUCGUCACACAAAGAAGGUGAUGAUGCUGGACAAUGGUCAUGGAUCUUUUGUGGUCAAUCAUGGAUAGAAGACAUGGAAUAAACUGUCGCUGUCGCCACGUACUUAGCUAUCGUGUUUUGAUGUUCUUGCAAAAUCCAGAUUUUUUUUACUUCAGAGGAACGCGGUAUUACGUAAUCAAGUAAACCCUACUUGCUACCACCGUGGCAAGUCUUGGGUAUAAAGUGCAUUGUAGCAAGGAUUUCUCAUUUCCACUUUCUCGGUCUGAAGACAGCAUCAGUUGCAUCCAUAUCGGUGUUCUUGGUCUGGAGAGGAGACUACAACACCGGCUCACAGAAGGAUGAAUCACUCAAUUGGGUUGCCUUAUAACCCAAGCAAUGACUUGGAGACCGGUCUGAAGGAGGAUCAUGUUGAGCGCAUGAACCGGUGGACGCAAGCGAAACUAUAUCUGAAAGCAUUGCACCGAUUCCGUCACACACUAGUCCUGAAAAAGGCAGAAGAAAAGAAGCAGGCAGCACGGAAACUACUUAGAGCACAUACCCAAGCCCUACGAGCUGCGGCUAUCUUCAAAGAAGUUGCAGAUCAAGUGAAAGGGUCUGGUGAUUAUUUUCCAAUUGAACCAGAUGAACUUGCUCGUUUGACGAGGAGUAGUGAUGUUGAUGCUCUGCAGCAAUAUGGGGGGAAGGAAGGCUUGGCAGAUUUACUGAAAACAGAUUUAGACAAGGGAAUUGAUGGGGAUGAUUUACUAAAGCGGACAAUUAAAUUUGGAUCAAACAUAUAUCCUCCAAAAACAGCAAUGAGCCGCUGGACAUGUCUUCGGGAAGCUCUGUACGAUUUUACUCGGAUCGUUUUGGUGAUUGCUUUUAUGGGUUCUGUUGUGAUGGGUAUUCUGGAAGAGACUAAAAAGCUGGGAUGGCACGAUGUGUUCAGCGUUGCUAUUGCAGCUGCCAUGUUCAUUCUUAUCACAGUCUUAUCUGAGUAUAUUCAAGCUCGUCAGUUCCAGCAUAUGAUUAUCACGGAGGAAAUCAGAAACAUAAAAUUGAAGGUUAUUAGAGCUGGUCGACAAGUUGUGGUUUCUAAUUGUGAUAUUGUUGUUGGUGAUGUUCUACCUCUUAAGACUGGUGAUGAGGUCCCUGCUGAUGGCAUUUUAAUCCGUGGUCGCUCACUUGCAAUUGAUAAGAGUAGAGUCACUGGAGAGAGCAAGAUUUUUCACAAGGAUUCAAGGAACCCAUUUCUACGAUCUGGCUGGAAAGUAGCACAUGGCAGUGCUACUAUGCUGGUAACUGGGGUUGGGAAAUGUACUGAAUCAGGAAUUCUCAGGGCUAACACUUAUUCAAAAGACACCGAGAAUAAAACCCCCUUGCAGGUGCUUUUAAAGGAGGUUGCUACUUUCAUGGGUGCUGUCGGAUUCAUGGGUGCUGCCAUUGUUGCAUAUGUUGUUUGGUUCAGAGACUUCUUUACUGGUGAUAAUUCAUCAAAUGGAAGUCCUGAACCUGGAAGUACACUUGAAGAAGUGAUUAGAAUUAGUACCAUUGCAGUUGCCAUUUUUGUCGUUGCAUUACCUGAAGUGCUUCCUUCAGCUUUCAACAUAAGCCGUCUCAGCACAAUGAAAAAGAUGAAGGCAGACAAUGCCUUGGUGCGGAGGCCAGCUGUAUGUGAAACCAUGGCCUUAUGCAAUGAUGCACUUUGUGACAAGACUGGAAUAACUUUGAACCAGAUGACUGUUUCUGAGGCCUAUGCUGGUGAGAAGAAAAUCAAUUUUGCUGACAGCACAAGCAACUUGUCUCCGAUACUAUCGUCCUUACUUGUUGAAGGAAUUGCUCAGAAUACGAGUGGCAGUCUAUCUGUGCUUGGGAGUGGUGAUGUUCAGGCUUCCGGAUCACCAAUUGAUAGGGCAAUUCUGCAUUGGGGAGUCAAGCUGGGAAUGAAUUUUGAUGAUAUAAUGUCUCAGUCUCCAGUUAUGCAAGUUUUGCCAUUCAGUUCAGAGAAAAAACGAGGUGGUGUUGCACUUAAUCUGACACAUGGUCGAGUUCAUGUACACUGGAAAGGGGCAGCUGAAGGAGUCUUGGCCUCAUGCACAAGAUACAUUGGGGCUAAUGAUCAGGUUUUACCAAUGGAUGAUGAGAAGUUAACAUUUUUUCAAAAAGCUAUCGAGGAUAUGGCUUCUGGAGGUUUGCAUUGCGUUGCUAUUGCAUAUAGAUCACUUGAGUUGGAAAAUGUUCUAAUCAAUAGUAAUGGACAACUAGCGCAGUGGGAACUACCUGAGGAUGACCUCAUUUUACUAGCUGUUGUUGGUAUGAAGGAUGAUAGUCAACCGGGGAUCAAGGACUCGGUGGAAAUAUUGCAAAGAGCUGGCAUUAAGGUACGCCUUGUUACGCAUGACAAUCCUCAAACUGCAAAAGCAAUUGCUAAGGAAUGUAGCAUACUUGCUUCUGAUGGGUCAGAUGUUAGUGAGGAAAAUCUUAUUGAAGGAAAAGUGUUCCGAGAACUUUCUGAUAGUCAGAGAGAAGGAUUAGCAGAGAAGAUUUUGGUAAUGGCACGGUCUUCCCCCAAUGACAAGCUUUUGCUUGUGCGAGCACUGCAGAAAAGAGGAAAGAUUGUUGCUGUCACUGGAUAUGUCAGUAAUGAUGCUCAUGCAUUACAUGAGGCCGACAUUGGUCUUGCUAUGGGUAUUCAAGGGACUGAAGUUGUUAAAGAGAGUUCAGAUAUCAUAAUCUUGGAUGACAAUUUUGCUACAGUAGCCAAGUGUUUUAGAUGGGGACGAUCGAUGCAUGAAAAGGUUCUGAAAGUUAUGCAGCAGCAACUUACAGUCAAUAUUGUAGCAGUAACCAUAAACUGCAUGGCGGCAGUUUACUAUCGUUACAUCCCGCUCAAUGCUGUGCAGUUUGUGUGGGUGAAUCUUAUCAUAUUUGGUCUUGGACCACUAGCACUGGCUACUGAAUCUCCGGCUGAUCACCUGAUGAACGUACCCCCUAUUGACCGAGGACAAACUCUUAUAAAAUAUAUUCAGUGGAAGAGACUGUUGACACAGGUUCUGUACCAAAUUAUUGCCCUGCUUGUCAUCAAUUUUCAAGGAGGGAGUUUACUGAAAAAUGAUACCAGAGACCAUGCCACAAAAAUGAAGAAUACAAUGAUAUUCAACACAUUUGUUGUUUGUCAGAUUUCCAUUGAAUUCGGAGUUCGAAAGACUGGUAUAGUGGACCAUCCUUUGAAAUGGAUUACUGCUAACUCUGUGUUUCUGGGAAUAGUUGGAAUAAUUCUUUUGAUUCAGUUUAUCAUCAUUGAGUUUCUUGGAAAGGCGUUUUUCUUAGUCAGGCUUGACUGGAAAGAGUGGGAGUUUUCGCUGACUCUUGGCAUUGUCGAGUUGUUGUUUGCACUGCUUCUAUUUCUGAAGGACCUGGCACAAAGGAAUCUUAAUUAAGAUCCUAUGUCGGUGAUGUUUAAGAUUUGAAGGUUCCAUACAUCUUCAUGAAACUUAUGUGCAGUGGAGUUGCGGGAAAUUGGAAGUUUGGUGUCAAAGGGUCUGCCUGUCACCUACUGCUCUCGCUCUUGAUUUUGAAGUUGCCAAAUUCUGAGGAGUGGAUAUCAAUCCGUAUACAGUCCCUCUAACCAUAUUUUCUAAAUAAUCGAGGGUCAAUCCGAAUUGGUCUUGUUAAAGAUCCGCUACAGACUGAAUACGUUUAUUUUUCAAAUGAUUCAUAUCAUCAAGCGUACCAUUCCAUAUUUCAUUCCAAUCAAAUGAUCUGCAGCUGCCAAAAUUUCUCGCGGUAACAAAAAUGUAUAUGGAGGGGAAAACAAAAAACAAAAAAAGGAACUGUCGAGUAUGGGAGAACAAAAACUGAAAAUUCCAGUGAUAAUAUUGAUCUUCAUGACUUCUUCUAGACUCAGCAAUAUGAGACCUAUGACGAGUUUCCCGGUUAGAUUUUGGGUGUUAUA